CGGGGAGUGGCUCAGUUUGGUUUAGAGCGCUUGGUUUGGGACCAAGAGGUCGUGGGUUCAAGUCCCACCUCCCCGACCA
rnacentral:tRNA from 1 species